GGAGGGGGAGGAAGAAGAGCAAAUCAAGCAAAAAAGGGAGAAAAACGGCGUUUUUAAAAAAAUGUUUGGAUUCCUUUUCAAUAAAUCAAAGAAGAAAGAUGGAACGAAAGAAAAUACGAAACACCAAGCUGCAAAUGAACAGAGGAAGAGUUAUUAUGCUGCAAAUGAUGAAUUUUUUGAUGCAUACGAUUAUGACUGAAGGGAUUAUUUUGAACCUCUCACCAUCUGUUGUUAUAAAGGAUUUUAAUGUUCCAGCUCGUGAAGCAUCAUAUUUGGUGGUAUCUUCAACAACAUCAUUU